UGGCUCAGAGGUUAAAGCGUCUGCCUGGAAUGCAGGAGACCCGGGUUAGAUACCUGG
rnacentral:tRNA from 1 species